rnacentral:rRNA from 1 species
AUUGAACGCUGGCGGCAUGCCUAACACAUGCAAGUCGAACGGCAGCACGGCAGUAGCAAUACUGUGGGUGGCGAGUGGCGGACGGGUGAGGAAUACGUCGGAAUCUGCCCAGUCGUGGGGGAUAACUAGCCGAAAGGUUAGCUAAUACCGCAUACGACCGAGAGGUGAAAGCGGGGGACCGCAAGGCCUCGCGCGAUUGGAUGAGCCGACGUCGGAUUAGCUAGUUGGUGGGGUAAAGGCCCACCAAGGCGACGAUCCGUAGCUGGUCUGAGAGGAUGAUCAGCCACACUGGAACUGAGACACGGUCCAGACUCCUACGGGAGGCAGCAGUGGGGGAAUAUUGGACAAUGGGGGCAACCCUGAUCCAGCCAUGCCGCGUGAGUGAAGAAGGCCUCGGUUGUAAGACGUCUUCGGUCCGGGACGGAAAGUACGCGAUGGUGGAAGUACCUACGUGUGGAGUGACGGUACCGGAACGAACGAAGAC